rnacentral:lncRNA from 1 species
CUAGUCGCUUCGGUAAGCACAACCCACCUCAUUUCGCAUUCCGAUUGCUUGUCGACACUUGCAAUCGGCCUCCCGCGGCACCCGGCACCCGGUUUGGCCCGAUCUCUCACGCGACCACCCGAACGGCCUCCAAUUCACGAUCCGAAAAUUAAAGGUCUUCGGUUAUGUGCCACGAUGCUUCAAAUCCAUUUUCAUGAAUUUACGAUAUCGCCUCGGCCCUCCCGGCGGACCCGAAGCCUAAACGUCCAUUUCUUUAAUAACUUUGUAACGGCUCGUCGGAUUGCCGAACCGUCUUCGCCAACGCGUUCGUUUACCUAGCAAUUUGGUUUACGGAGGGUCAAAUGAGAUCAAACCCUCAUAUUUUAAAAAACCCCAUUUUCUAAGCCUAAUAUGAAUUAAUCUCCAAAUAAUCCAAAUUAAAUAGAGCAAACAUGUUUAGAAUGCUCAUUAGAGGCUAUUAGAACACUUAAAACUAAGGAUUAAGCCAAAUCCUAAAAGCUUACCUCAAUGUGAACGCCGCGACGACAACACACCGCUCCAACGGGCGCACGAAAGCUCAAUCCGUCGCCUCCAACGCGUUCGCAAGCAUAUUCUCCACCAACCCCGCGAAUUUGAGCGAGAGAUAUAGAGAAAUGAGAGAGAUCUCUAGAGAGAGAAAGGAGAGUUUCUCUCCUCUCUCCAUGUGUGCGUGAGGUGUGUGUGGGUGUGCACGGCUGAAGGAGGAAGAAGAAGCAUCAUGCUUCUAUUUAAUUACACCCCAACACUAUUCACCUCCAGGCAGCUUAAAAUCUGAUAACUUUCGCCGGAGCUCCCUGAAUGUCCGUUUGAGCUCAAACUUGACAGUCAUGUUCGGUUUUACUUAACUUAACAAGCUGACGAUCACUGGUUCAGUUUCGACCCCGUUUGGUCACUGAAAACUGUACCGAACUGCAAUCUUUAUCAGAUAGCUUUCGGAUUUUAUUUCUCACUCUAUGGGUGUCAGAAAAAUAUGAAACCUUAAAUCUAGCCUCAUAAAAAUAUUUCUGACAUCUCCGCCAAUUUUCAUAAUUUUCUGAGACUGUGCAUUUUCUGCUUAUUUUUCUGUCCCGUCUCCAACAGAAAAUUCUAGAUCUUCUGUUUUAAUUCCGAUUUCAGCACAAGUCACCUCUGACUUAUGUUUUACCUCUAUAAAUCUAAUAAAAAUAGUUUCUCACACUAUUUUUAUUUAUUAUUAUUUUUAUACCAAAAUCUGGUAUAUUACAUUCUCCACCCCUUAAAAAGAAUUUCGUCCGCGAAAUUCAAAACACACCUCAAUUCAGCUCCUCGAGCAAUUGAGGGCACCAAUGCACUUUUUCACUUCGGAAUGGCUUUACACUCCUUGGAACUAUCCAAGAGAACUAUCACGGAGGGUACAAUACCAAACUCAUACAACUUUGUAAGGUGCAUCCCACAAAGUGCAUUACGGUAUCCACCAUUCUUGGUGGAAGCGCAAGUCGAAAUUCAACGACUACACACGCUCCAACCCCACUUGUCAUUUGGCAUGCAAGAACUCUUCUUUGCAUGUACUCUCCCUUCAGGGAAUACAUUCCGAUUCUAUCUCCAACAGUGCUUAAAAGCAACAUCACUGAUGCAUCGCUUCCGCGCGAGUGCUCUAAUUCCGCACUGAUCUUUAGCUCUAACAUGAGAUGGCCCACCUCGGCGCCUCCCAAUUCCAAUCCUCAAAUUCCACGUGGCUUGCUACUAGCUCAAGGUCUCACAAGGAGCACUUCAUCUUCUAAUACCAUAUGCCACGGUCAACAUUGAACUAAUUUCGCAACGAGCUCACACGAACGCUUCAUUCGUGGAUUCGAGUUAGACUCCUCGAUAAGGCUAUCCGCCAAACCGCUCUCUUCGGUCUCCACAGGUGGACCAAAGGCCACCAAUCCUACGUAGGCCUACCGCCUAACCUUUCUCAAUACGCAGCGUCUCUCGCUCGCAAUGCAGACCCAAUCAUCAUUGGGGCGAAAUUCUCACUUGGGAAUUCGCACACACUCCAACCAGGAGCAACUAAGAUCCCAAACCGUUACAGAUUCCCGGGUUGGGUCACACUCGCACUCUCAGUAUACUAUCAAUCGCACUACAUGCUCUAUAGCACAAUACGUACCACUAUCGGCUCCUAUGCACCUAGUGCGAGCCACCAGCCCCACGAGUGAUCCGUGGCACGCUUCACACCUAGCAAUGCUCAGGUGCUACUGCCAACACACUCAUCCGGCUAAACUAAAUCCGCACUCCACGAGUAACUAUACUCGUGUAUCGCACGCCUCUAAAGCGCUCCACACUAUGUCCAGCAUUAGGCAACUCUUGCCUAUGCACACCGGCCACACGAGCAUGGCUCACCUACCUCGAUUCGAGGUACUACUAGGCAAAAGCGCCAGUAGUUGGCAACAAACCGUUCCAUCGGAGCAACAUCCGGAAUACUCGAACCAUUCGAGUGUCCACAAGUGUCACGUCACAACUCUCGCAAUCAGCUAUACAUUGCUCUGCGAGUUAGUCCGUCACUCCCAUCUCUACUGUGAAUCUCAUCAUUAGACCAUCACUAGCAACUCGCUAGUGCCAUCCAGUUCUCUACCUGCACCGGCAGGUGCAACGCUUUCACCACAUAAGCGUGCCCGGGUAUUUACAUUUAUCCGCUCACUUGGACCCUACUAUGCUACUACAUAAAUAGUAGUAAUUAAUUACAUGCUCAAUGCAUGCAAUGCACCAACUUUACAUUAUGCAGAAACACAUAACUGCAUUAAUGGCUCAUACCUGCCAUGACGUUGUCAGCAGCAGGUUCCAUAUCCCGGACAUAGUUCACGAUAGGGAGAAUUCCCGUUCGUACUCUCUAACUGAGCGGUCUCCUUGCCGCAGCUUCCUGAACUUGUCCUGAAGCUUUCUCUUUUCACUGUCGGGGGAAGUAAGUAGAAGAUACCAAUCCCCAAAACUCAUCCCAUGCCAUGGAGGAAUACUAGGCGAUCGGUUCCGCCGAAUGCCUUUCCACCACGCCUUAGCCGACUGUUUCAAACAAUACACGGCUAGGGGUACCCUGUCCCGCUCCAAGGUAGACAGCUCCUCGAAGAGCGUUUCCACGGAGUCAAUCCACGUAUCCACAAUCCACGAAUCGACAUUCUCUCCAUCGAAGAUAGGUGGAUCAAACUUUAUGAAGGUCAUGAGGGCUGCCAAAGCCCGCUCUUUCUCCUUCUUUUCCUUUCCUUUCUUCCUCCUCUUCUUGUCUUCUAGAGAGAGAAAGAGAGAUAUGAGAGGGUGUGUGGGUGAGAAAUGAGAGAAAAGAGCUCUCAUACUCCUCACAUAGCCCCACAUGUUGCAUAAGUGCAAACAAGCCUCUCAACUUUUACUCUUUUACACUGCCCUGACUGGGCCAUUUUCAGGUUCGGGGACCGGUCUCCCCGACGAGGGACCGGUCUCCGAGAGCUCUCCCCGCGGUCAGCAGGGCUCACGCACGAUGCAUCCGGUCUCCCCCGAUGGGACCGGUCUCUUCGGGACCGGUCUCUCCCUGCAGGGACCGGUUCCCGAGAGCUGUCCACCGGGGACUUAGCCGAUUUUUCCUCCCUUUCGCUGUCUGCGCGUGCGGGGACCGGUCUCUCCCACCAGGGACCGGUCCCCGAGAGCAGAAAACCUGCAGUUUGCAGAUUUUGAUUCCCAAAGCUCUCGAAGAUCCCCAGCAACGCACUUUUGCAUUAUUUGACGCCUUCGGCCUUUCCGAAGUGUACCAACCUCGCUCUUUGGUCAAUUUGACCAAGGUUCGAUGUUCGCUUACCGAAGUUUCGGUAUAUUACACCUACAAUUUUUUUUCGGAGUCUCUUAAUUCGCUCCUCCUGGUGUAUAGCAGCCUCCUGCUGCCGCUGCACCACAUCUGCUCGUUGCCUCACCACACCCACAAGUGUGGCCAACCGUUCGCGAAGUUCCAAAUCUCCGCUCGCCUUGGAUUGCUCUGGGACAUCACUUGUCCCACCCCGCGUCGAUCUAAACGAAGAUCGCCUACGCGGUGCCAUCGUUACCUAGAACAUAACAACUCAACUAACUCUCAACCUUCUAGGUCGAGUACGAGACAACUGACAUCAACUCAAAUCGGGCGAAAGUCAUACAAGGGCAUCUAUUCUCAUCACUCGGUUUCAUGUUGUACGCGUCCAACAUGAACACUCUCGGUUGAGAAUAGACAACACCUUGGAUCUACCUCUAAUCUCCUUUUUAGAGGUUUACAACACAACCCAAUCCCUUAACCUUUCGCCAAAAGUCACAAGUCCUCGUCUCUCACGAGCCUUAAUCUCCUAUGGUUUACUAUCCUAGGGUCUCCUAGGUUCAUCUAAACCACUUUCCCAUUCUCUACUUUAUGCUCUGAUACCAUCUUACCUGUCACGCCCCGAGCCCGCCUCUUUGGUCGGAUUCGGGCACGCCAACAGACCGCCGAACGGACAGGGUUUCCCCUGCACGCGGACAGAGUCUCCCCUGUACGUUCAAGGCGUCGCAAUCAAUACAAUUACAAGAGGUUCCAAACAGGAACAAUUUUCAACAACGAUUGCAUAAGGAAGGUAUCAAACAACAUAACACAUCCUAUGUUAUUACAAUCAUUCAUCUCAUCAUUUUACAUCGCAUUUUUCAUUACAUUGAUUCUCAACUUCCAAAUAUACAAUCGAUUUCUAAACAUAAUAUUACAACAUCGAUUCUUUUCUUUUCUUUUCUUAUACCCCUAAGAAGCCGACUCAGGGUGCUGCUAUCUGGUCUCUGUGGUAGGGCGCUAACUACGGAGCUACGCCCUUUCCUCGCGCCGCCGCGCCGCUCGCGUGUGAACCUGUACCCCCAAAAACAACAACACGGGGGUGAGACUAUUGUCCAUAGUCGUCAGUGGGUACAGCCACCCAAGUGAAAAGCUCAACCCACCAGGUCCAAAGGAGGCACUGCAACAUGUUAGUCCAACAGAUAUAUAUAUAUAUAACAUCAUGCAAUACAUGUUCAUGCCUCACAAAUAUGCAAAUUAUGCAACUCUUAGUCAUUCUUUACCAUUAGCCUUUCUUUAGAAUAUGCAAUUCUUUAUCAUUAGCCAUUCUUUAUUCUUUAAUCUUUAUUCUUUAUUCUUUAUUCUUUAUGCUUUAUUCUUUAUGCUUUAUUCUUUGUUCUUUAUCCUUUACUAAGGGCACUCGCGCCUUAGGCUCAUCAUACACAUUUGCCAUUCUUUAUAACAUUAACAAGUCUUUCUCAAUUAUCACUCUUUCCUAAGGUUACAUUUACCUUAGCCAACUAUGCCACUCGACUCGGUCUUGAGUCAAUUCAUAAUGAAUACAAGAUCCACUUUCCAAUUCAUGAUUCCUUUUUGUUCUUUGUUCUUUAAUCUCACGGCUAACCCGGGGGUUUCGCCACAUUAACUUGCUUCACAUUAAGUCCAUCAUCGCAGGAACUCACCAGCUAGGACCGUCCUUACGGGUCUACUCCAACCCGGAUGCCAAACUCCGGAGCGCAUCGCCCGAGGGGGAGCGACCGCCCUCGAGCACGGAACUCAUAGCAAGUAUGAUCAAUCCUUAACUCUAAGGAUAUGUAGUUGGAUCAUGGUUUUACACUAACUCUAGUGUUCUUUACAUCACAUUAGUUGCUAACUCUAGCAAUCAUUAUUCUUUAUACCACAAUUAUCAAUUACUUUAGUAAUUAUCAUUCUUGAUACCACACUUGUUCUUUUAUUGCCACACACUAACUCUAGUGUUCUUUAUGUCACAUUGGUUGCUAACUUUAGCCAUUAUCAUUGUUCUUUACACUUUGCUUGUUCUUUAUGCCACAUUACUUUACAUCGCCUCUAGCCAUUAUCAUUAUUCUUUACAUCACAUUGCUUUGCCUUGUCUCAAGCCAUUAUCAUUAGGUUCUCACAUUACAUCUCAUGCAUACACAUAGAUUAUUUAGAUUCUUAAUCAUUCUAAUAAGCACGUGUACUCACAUCAUGCAACAUUACAUUAUUAUCAUCACAUUGUUUUACAUUAUCUUUAGCCAUUAUCAUUGUUCUUUACAUCACAUUUAUUCUUUGAUGUCCCACACUAACUCUAGUGUCCACUUUACCAUUUCGAAUGCCACUCGAUCUAUGUUCAACAUGCAUAUAUUUUGUCAUCCAUUGGUAGUCAUUACUUAGCAUUUUAUGCAUUCGUUAACAUUUACUACAUGCAUUCUCGGUUAGUACAAAUCUCAUACUUUCAUUUGACAUCUAUUUAGCAUUUCUAUAAUAUGCACAUAUAAAUUAACAUCAACUCAUGCAUUCAUUUGGCAUCUAUCUUUAUCAUGCAUUCUUAAUUAGCAUACUUUAUCAUGCAUUCUCAAAUAGCAUACUUUAAUCUUUAUCAUGCAUUCUUAAAUAGCAUACUUUAUCAUGCGUCAAUAGUAAACAUACUACACUUUAGCAUGGAAAGCGACCUAAUCGCUUCGGUGAGCACAACCCACCUCAUUUCGCAUUCCGAUUGCUUGUCGACACUUGCAAUCGGCCUCCCGCGGCACCCGUAACCCGGUUUGGCCCGAUCUCUCACGCGACCACCCGAACGGCCUCCAAUUCACGAUCCGAAAAUUAAAGGUCUUCGGUUAUGUGCCACGAAGCUUCAAAUCCAUUUUCAUGAAUUUACGAUAUCGCCUCGGCCCUCCCGGCGGACCCGAAGCCUAAACGUCCGUUUCUUUAAUAACUUCGCAACGGCUCGUCGGAUUGCCGAACCGUCUUCGCCAACGCGUUCGUUUACCUAGCAAUUAGGUUUAUAUAGGGUCAAUUUAGAUCAAACCCUUACAUUUUACAAAACCCCAUUCGGAGCCCUAAUAUGCUAUUAACCUCAAAAUAAUCCAAAAUUAAAUGGAUCAACAUGCUAACAAAGCUCAUUAGAGGCUAUUAGAAUACUUAAAGCUAAGGAUUAAGCCAAAUCCUAAAAGCUUACCUCAAUGUGAACGCCGCGACGACAACACACCGCUCCAACGGGCGCACGAAAGCUCAAUCCGUCGCCUCCAACGCGUUCGCAAGCAUAUUCUCCACCAACCCCGCGAAUUUGAGCGAGAGAUAUAGAGAAAUGAGAGAGAUCUCUAGAGAGAGAAAGGAGAGUUUCUCUCCUCUCUCCAUGUGUGCGUGAGGUGUGUGUGGGUGUGCACGGCUGAAGGAGGAAGAAGAAGCAUCAUGCUUCUAUUUAAUUACACCCCAACACUAUUCACCUCCAGGCAGCUUAAAAUCUGAUAACUUUCGCCGGAGCUCCCUGAAUCUCCGUUUGAGCUCAAACUUGACAGUCAUGUUCGGUUUUACUUAACUUAACAAGCUGACGAUCACUGGUUCAGUUUCGACCCCGUUUGGUCACUGAAAACUGUACCGAACUGCAAUCUUUAUCAGAUAGCUUUCGGAUUUUAUUUCUCACUCUAUGGGUGUCAGAAAAAUAUGAAACCUUAAAUCUAGCCUCAUAAAAAUAUUUCUGACAUCUCCG